AGAUAACAUUAAUGAGCAUGGAAUUUAUUUCAUAGCCACUUUGUUUACUCCAUGCUCAUAUGCAACAUCUUCCCAAUCUAUUGGUCUCUCCAACAUCACCACAUUUGAGAUCUCCAACCCCCUCUUCCUUUCUAUUUAUAAAAACUUUAAAAGGGCGGUUGUCGAUGCAUAUGUCUAUAAUAAAUAUUGCAGAUCUCAUUGAGUUGAUCUUGAUUUAGGUCAGCAUUGGAAGGGAAACCACUUCACUGACAUAAAUUGAUGGUUUCCCAAGGACAAGCUUAGUGUCCUAAAAUAAGCACUGAUCAGAUCGUAACAUGAGUUUUUAAUUAUUUGCAACAUUACCUUGUGUAUUGAGCAUAUAAGGAUAAUUGUAAAAAUAUUCCUUCGGGUAUUCUUGUCACUAACCUUUACAGGAUUGGAGCAAGAAGAUCAGAUGAAUGACAAGCAAGUACAAGGUAUGUCCAACCAAUCAUCAUGCAACACUGAAUUAAAUUCUUCCAAACUUGAAUUUUGCAAAAUUCAAGCUUGGGGGAGUACUUUACAUCCUUUGCCAUGUUGCUAUGCUGGUUGUCCCUACCUUUAAGACAUGCUCAAUUUGUUAAAUACUAAUCACACUACUUCAUCUCCACUUGAGCAGAUCUCUAUAAAUGCUGUCAUGUUACCUUUGUCUAUUUACUAGUAAGUGUUAGUUUGGAAGUACUGCAUAUACUUCUAUUGGCUUUUAAAUUAAGCAUGGUGCUUAGGUUAAACAGCCUUCCUUAGUCUAAUUAGACAUGGAGUCUAGUUCGGUUAUUGAACUAAAAACUGCUUGUGUAGACAAUGGUAUAUUUUUGUCGGACUAACCCCUGCAGAAAAACUUUCAAUAUCGAUUUGGGAAGUCCUGAGAUAAACUCACAUCAGAGACAAAGAGAGUGACACAUGAAGUUUAACAAUUUGCACAAGAAGGACAUAGCUCAUUCAUCAUAGAGAGAUGAUCCAUGGAGGGUGCCACAAACACGAUGCACAACCGCUAAGAAAGGAAAGCUUCCACAAGGUGAUACUACACCAUCACUCUUCAAGUAAGGUAACACCUUAAGGUACUUGACUAUCACUUUUAUAAGCUUCUCCUUGGUUCUCGCGUUCAUAUAAAUAAAAGAGACAAACAUGUAUGAUUUACAACUCUAGAUUAACCAACCCAACUGAUUCAACAUGUUUAGUCCUUUAAUCCUUGUUCUUAGUACUACCUCCAUGAUUCCACACUCCUAAUCAUAUGAGCUAAAAUGUUACACAUUCAAUCAUUGAGAAAUAUAAAGAAAAAGACAUAUACAUAGAUAGAUUAUCUUUCCAUAAGGUUGAGCGAUCUGAUCUGACAAAUGUUAUAAGUGCUACACUCAUGAACUUUUCAUCCAUCAACUUUGUCUUGCUCACUAUGCUUAGGGUUAGAGAAGAACAAAUACACUUUAGGUUCUAUUGGUGUUUUCCACCAACAGGACCCAUGCACUUGAUCUCUGCCUUGUCUCUAUGAGCAGGUACACUUCGAGCAAAACACGGAGGAGUUUUAUAACUCUCAGACUCUACCAAGUAAAGGACCUGGAUCUACGAGCACAAACACACUGAGCAGGAUAUUGCCAACGCCGCACUUCGAACUGCUGGGCAAACGAAGAGGUGCAGACGUCAAGGUCCGCACCUGAAUCAAAUGACGCACCUGAAGAAUGAACACGGUGAGAAGUCUUGUUAAGAAGACUUAAAACAUUGAACCAUCGCCGAAAGGUAAGAUCGGUAGUUAUCCAUAUUUAUCCUUUCUGCAUUCCCUUUUCCCUUUAAUUAUUUACUUUCCUUAAAUAGAUUAUUAGUUAAUCAUGCUAUCUUGAAAAGAAAAUAAAAAUAUUAAAAAAUACUAAGCCCCAUGUGAGUAUACGAGUGGCAUAAAACCCAUAAGUACCUUUACUGUGGUGGCAUAAAAAUAAAAUAAAUAUUUCUUUUCUGCUUUAUAAAAUAAAAAUAUAAAAACAGGGAGUAAUAUUUAUUGAGGAAGCUCAACAUGAUGAAGGCUAGAUAUUUAUGCUAACACUUAAUUAGUUCCACAAGCUUUGUUGUCUAUUUGAGCUCCACAGAAUUUAAGAAUCAAGAAGACUAGCAGACGGAGGACAUUCUAAUCGCUGUGAGAAUGCUGCUGACUUUCAAAUACACCUCUGCCACCUGCUAGCUACAUCAACAGAAAUUACGUCAAAAUUCAGCUUGGGGGAGAGCACCCCCAUUUAUCUCGCUAAGUAUUUCUACAUAUCUUUAUACUUAUAUUAUAUUAGAAUAUUAAAAUACAUAAACUAUGAAAAACCAAAUAAAGAUUUUGUGCUUGUAUAUAUAUCUUUUGCUUAGUGUGUUUAAUAAAUAAAUAAAGUGGCUAUGCUAAUCUGAAUCUUAAUAAUAAAACUCUAGCAUGGAUAUGAUGAAUAGUUGCUCUGCCUAAUUUGCAAAUUUGAAGUUCUCUCUCAAGUUUAGACAUAACUGUUAUAAUUUAAAGCUUGCUCUAGAUCUAAAUUUGUAGGAUAAAAACUUGAUCUGAAAUCUAAGUUGUUAACGGACAUGAUAUGGGAAGGUUGAGCUGCUGUUUAUCUAUUCCUAGAGAUGCUAGAAUUCUAGAGAAUUUUAUCUUUGAAAAAUCUUUAAAAUAUUGCAUGAUGAGUUCCUGUAUGAUGAGAGUUUAAAUUCCUACCACAGCCAUAUAUACAUGCUUGCUAGACUUUGAGCCACACAUUUACUAUUUACUGCUUAUCAGCAUUGAGUGUGGUCAAGCUGUGUAGACCCUUAGGAGAUUGUCAUGUGGUUAAAUCAAGAUUUCACUUGCACAUUCACUCAUAUAUGCUACUUCUACUCCGGAAGUACCAUCCACGUAUAUCCACUCAUUUCCAUCUCCAGAACCACCCAAAAAUAUUCUACUCCAAAUCCGGGAGAGAAUAACCAAAAAAUAUUUCUGUUUUCCCUUGUGAAAUAAAUGCUCAAGUUAUCUUGUUACUACCACUUGCUAUAUUAUCUCAAGAGAUGAGUGCUCUGAAAAAAAAAGAAAAGAGAGAAAAGAAAAAUAAAUAAAUAAAUAAAUAAACGAGGAAAUAAAAAGGGGCAAGUGCCCGGAACCUCGAAAGAAAGAAAAAGUGAGACGAGAGGUAAAAAUGGACAAGUGUCCGACAGUAGAAUUAGGGGUACAAGAUACCCACCUGAGAGGAAAGAAAAAAAUGAAAGAUAGAGCAUCUCAUUCUCCUCAUAAAGUUUCAAAAAUCAAGGAAGGUAUGUAUCCCCUCAAAAGAGCAAAAGUAGAAUUAGAAUUUCACCAUUGUUGUCACCAUCAUCACCAUACACCAUUCAUUCGCCACACAUGCACAUCUAGAUUUGGCUUAUUGAUUUGUUUCUUUGGAUCCAUGGUUUGACUAUACAAUAAAUGUCUUGAAAGUAUGUAUACUUUAUCUCCCACCUAUGAGCUCUAGAUAUUAAAGCCUUAUUAGGGUAGGGUGAGAGAGAAGGCAAUGUCAUUAUGCCUUAUACCACAAAUACCACAUAUCUUGAGAGAAGGCAUAUACCAUCACUGCCUUGGUAAGGAUCCAGAAAUACCACAAAAGAGAGAUUUUGAGAGUCAUACAAGGAAUCUCUGAGUUUUAUUGGAAAAUCUGCAAAAACUCCAGAGCUAUAGCUGAUCAAGAAUAAGAGACAUGGCACUUGGCUAGACUGUUCUAUCUUUUAACUACUCAAGACAGAAGUGACGGUUACAAGUCCCAUGGUGAAAGGUAAAGUAAGUAAGUUUUAGUUCUUGACAGUUUACUCUAACUCAGAGAUGAGAUCUUAUUUAAAAGCAUGUGUACCGUCAAAUUUUUAAGAUAUUGUAACAACUUCUGAUCCAUUGCUGAGUCUAUCCUUGCUCAGGGACGAGCAAGAGGUAAUCUUGGGGGAGUUUGUUGACGGUCCUUAAGUAUCAAAUUUAAUUAUCAAAUAAACAAAGAAAAGGAUCCAAAUGAAAUCAACAUCUAGACUUAGGGUUUUAUCUGACAGAAUUCCACGAGUUUUGGUGUUUGUCUAUUUCUGCAGGGGGUUAUCAGGAAAUACGGAAGAAAGGCCCACACGUCGGGAUUACAUAGAGAUAUUAACGUGCCGCGCAAUUAUCUUACAUCUAGAAGACUCUAGAAGCCACGGGAAGGAAGCGGAGGCCGAACGGGGCCAGAGGCAGGGCGCCCGCCCUCCUGCCCUGGGCGCCCGCCCUGACUUGGAGCCCAAUCAGGACUCUUUCUCUCGGGAGAUCUCCACCGACCUAAAGGAUCAAGAAUAACCGUUCAAUCAAUGUCGGUUUGAUCCGACGGCCCAGGUUCACUUGAGGGGACUAUAUAACCAGACCCCCUGGCCCCUGGAGGAGGCACCCCUUGAUCAUUAUUCAUUAUUCUUAGACAGAGCAAAAGCUAGGGUUUAGAGAUGAGAGCUCUCCUCUCUUCUCUAAACUAGAGUAGAUCUAGAUAGUAGGAAGAUGGAGAGCGAAGGAGGAUUAGAGGAGAGGUCGGCCUGUCGGUUCAUCCUCCGGUUGUACUUCGUCAUGAUCAAGCUCUAAUUAAGCUUGCUCAUGGGAUGACUCUGGUAAUCUACUUCUAAUUCAUUAUGCAAUUACUAAUUAUGUAUGUUCUGGUUCACAACUCUUUUGAGUAUUCUAAUCUAUAGGACGCUAUAGGUGAGAGUUGUAGUAUAGGUGUAAGCGAGGUGCUUAGAUCUAGAUUACUUGUGGAUAUCCCCUGUCCAGUUGGAUCGUGUGGUAGGCCGCGUAGGUGACAGUUACGUUGGUCCUCUGUAGUCCACCUCUCGUUAGCAGGACGGGUACGGUUUAUCGGCCUAAGGAUAAGCAUCCUUUGUGGUGUACUCUUAUCACGUGGUUCGUCCCAGACAUAGACAUACCCCUUUGAAGUAGAGAAACCAUAGUUAUCCUCUCUAUUUUGCUAACAUCGCCCAUAUACUAGAAUUGCUCUAUUCUCUAUUCCCAUAUUAUCACUCACUGUUAUCUUACCUUUAAUAUUAUUCUUAUUCGAUCCUACCAUCUUUCCUAUUUACACUUAUCUAUCUAUCCUAGUUAAGUUAGAGUGUAGAUCUGUUCUCCCGUUUCCCUGUGGACACGAUAAAACCUUUGACCGGGUAAAAGCUUCAACGGUAUCCAUGCGCUUGUGGAUUAUCUGUGUGCGUAUAAAUACCAUAGUACACUCUAGUGCCAUGAUGGGGAUGACAACCUAGUAUUCAAGUAGUGUUAGCAAGUGUCAACAACAGGUUGACCACACUCAAUGUUCAUAAGCAGUAAAAAGUAAAUGUAUGGUUCAUAGUCUAAUAAGCAUGUAUAUGUGGCUUUGGUAGGAUUUUAAACUCUCAUCAUACAGGAACUCAUCAUGCAACAUUUUAAUGAUUUUUAAAGAUAAAAUUCUCCAGAGUUUUAGCAUCUCUAGGAAUAGAUAAACAGCAGCUCAACCUUCCCAUAUCGUAUCCAUUAACGACUUAGACUUUAGAUCAAGUACUCUUCCCACAAGUUCAGGUUUAGAGCAAAUCUUAAUUCAUAACAGUCAUGCCUAAACUUGAGAGAGAAUUCAAUUUUGAGAACUAGUCAGGGCAGAGCAACUAUUCAUCAUUUCCAUGUGAGAGCUUAUCAUGAGGGUUCAUAGCAAACUUUAUUUAUUUAUUUAUUUAGCAAACUAAUCAAAGAUAUAUAUAUAUAUAAGCUCAAAAUUUUUAUUUGGGUUUUUAUGAUUAUGCAUCUUUUUAUUAUUUGAGUAAAGUAUAAACGUGAGUAGAAACACUUAGCUGGAUAAAUGGGGGUGCUCUCCCCCCAAGCUGGAUUUUGAUGUAAUUUUUCUAAUGUAGCUAGCAGGUGGCGGAGGUGUAUUUGAAUGUCGGAAGCAUCCUGACAGUGAUUAGGACGUCCUCCGUCUGCUAGUCUUCUUUGAUCCUUGAAUUCUGUGGAGCUCAAAUAGACAACAAAGCUUUAUGGAACUGGUUAAGUGUUAGCAUAAAAAUCUCUUUGCCUUUGUCAUGUUGAGCUUCCUCUAAUAAAUAUUACUCUCUUUAGUAGGAUCAUAAGUUUAUUUUUUUAUAUUUUCAUUUCUAUAGGGCAGGGAUAUAUUUAUUUUAUUGUUACGCCACCACAGUGAAUGUACUUAUGGGUUUUAUGCCACAAGCAUACUCACAUAGGGCUUACUGUUUUUAACAUUUUUAUUUUUUUUUCAAGAUAGCAUGAUUAACUAACAAGCUAUUUAAGGAAAGUAAAUAAUUUGAGGGAAAAGGGAAUGCAGAAAGGAUUAAUAUGGAUAACUACCGAUUUUACCUUUCGGCGAGGGUUCAAUGUUUUAAGUCUUCUGAACAAGACUUCUCACCGUGUUCAUUCUUUAGGUGCGUCAUUUGAUUCAGGUGUGGACCUUGACGUCUGCACCUCUUGAUACGGUGUCACCCAUGUUCUUCGUUUGCCCAGCAGUUCGAAGUGCGGCGUUGGCAGCAUCCUGCUUAGUGUGUUUGUGCUCGUAGAUCCAAGUCCUUCACUUGGUAGAGUCUGGGAGUUGAAAAAUCCUCCAUGUUUCUCAAAAUGUGUCCUGCUCAUAGAGACAAGGCAGAGAUCAAGUGCAUGGGUCCUGCUGGUGGAAAACACCAACAGAACCAAAAGUAUAUUUAUCCUUCUCUAUCCUUAAGCAUAGGGAGCAAGACAAAGUUGAUGGGUGAUAAGUUCAUGAGUGUAGCAUUUAAAACAAUUGUCAGAUCAGAUCACUCAACCUAAUGGAAAGAUAAUCUAUCUAUAUUUAUGUUUUUUAUAUAUCUUCCAAAGAUUGAGUGUGCAACAUUUUAGCUCAUAUGAUUAGGAGUGUGGGAUCACAAAGGUAGAAGGACUAAACAUGUUGAAUCGAUUGGGUUGGUUAACCUAGAGCUGUAAAUCAUACAUGUUUGUCUCUUUUAUUCAUAUGAACACCAGAACCAAGGAGAAGCUUAUAAAAGUGAUAGUCAAGUACCUUAAGGUGUUACCUUACUUGAAGAGUGAUGGUACAGUAUCACCUUGUAGAAGCUUUCCUUUCUUAGCGGUUGUGCAUCGUGUUUGUGGCACCCUCCAUGGAUUAUCUCUUAUGAGCUACGUCUUCCUUGUGUA
rnacentral:lncRNA from 1 species